UACGGAGGGUGCUAGCGUUGUUCGGAAUUACUGGGCGUAAAGCGCGCGUAGGCGGCUUUGUAAGUUAGAGGCGAAAGCCCGGGGCUCAACUCCGGAAUUGCCUUUAAGACUGCAUCGCUAGAAUCGUGGAGAGGUAAGUGGAAUUCCGAGUGUAGAGGUGAAAUUCGUAGAUAUUCGGAAGAACACCAGUGGCGAAGGCGACUUACUGGACACGUAUUGACGCUGAGGUGCGAAAGCGUGGGGAGCAAACAGG
rnacentral:rRNA from 1 species